rnacentral:rRNA from 1 species
UAACAAUCCUUCGGGUGCGUUAAUGGGCGUCGAGCGGCGGACGGGUGAGUAAUGCCUAGGAAAUUGCCUUGAUGUGGGGGAUAACCAUUGGAAACGAUGGCUAAUACCGCAUAAUGCCUACGGGCCAAAGAGGGGGACCUUCGGGCCUCUCGCGUCAAGAUAUGCCUAGGUGGGAUUAGCUAGUUGGUGAGGUAAUGGCUCACCAAGGCGACGAUCCCUAGCUGGUCUGAGAGGAUGAUCAGCCACACUGGAACUGAGACACGGUCCAGACUCCUACGGGAGGCAGCAGUGGGGAAUAUUGCACAAUGGGCGAAAGCCUGAUGCAGCCAUGCCGCGUGUAUGAAGAAGGCCUUCGGGUUGUAAAGUACUUUCAGUUGUGAGGAAGGGGGUAGUGUUAAUAGCGCUAUCUCUUGACGUUAGCAACAGAAGAAGCACCGGCUAACUCCGUGCCAGCAGCCGCGGUAAUACGGAGGGUGCGAGCGUUAAUCGGAAUUACUGGGCGUAAAGCGCAUGCAGGUGGUUCAUUAAGUCAGAUGUGAAAGCCCGGGGCUCAACCUCGGAACUGCAUUUGAAACUGGUGAACUAGAGUACUGUAGAGGGGGGUAGAAUUUCAGGUGUAGCGGUGAAAUGCGUAGAGAUCUGAAGGAAUACCAGUGGCGAAGGCGGCCCCCUGGACAGAUACUGACACUCAGAUGCGAAAGCGUGGGGAGCAA